rnacentral:rRNA from 1 species
UACAGAGGUCUCAAGCGUUGUUCGGAUUUACUGGGCGUAAAGGGCGCGCAGGCGGCGCAUUUUGUCAGGCGUGAAAGCCCCGGGCUUAACCUGGGAACUGCGUUUGAUACGGAUGGGCUAGAGUUCGGGAGAGGAGAGUGGAAUUCCACGUGUAGCGGUGAAAUGCGUAGAGAUGUGGAGGAACACCAGUGGCGAAGGCGACUCUUUGGCCUGUAACUGACACUGAGGCGCGAAAGCGUGGGGAGCAAACAGG